UACAAUUUGGUUAACGUCCAGAAAAUAAUAAUUUUGCUAAACAGAAAAAAAUAUUCGUCCAUUUUAGGGAGUUUUUUACAAUAAAAUAGAUUAGAGAACAGAAGGGUCCAGGGUUCAUUCAUGUUUUAUCUUUCUUUUGCAUUCAUCCUAUCAUUUCAUUAUUCUCUGCGAUUGAUACAACAAGUGCAGGUCCACCUAGUGAUAAAUGUUAUGAAUUAUUCUUUUGUUAACUGACAUGAUUCUAUCUUCAGAUACAACAAAGACAAUAAUCAGAAUGACUAGAAACAGUGAAUCAUCUGAGUUUUUGCAAACCAACGAAACCAACGAAACCGACGAAACCAACGAAACCAAUCGAAGAAUCAGUUCUUCGAGUUCAAGUUGUUUCACAGGAAAAAAUCUGGUUCUAGCCGCAGUGUCCCUAGUAUUAUGUACAGCUUUACUGUCAUGUACUGGUACAGCAUUACUUUUCAAAAUGGCAGCUCAAGAUAUUAGAAUCUCAAAAGAUCAGGUUUUAGUACUGAUCACACUGGAGGAAAGUUCAUCAGUUUAUCAUACUGUACAUACUGUAAACAUUAACUCAUGUACAGGGGUCAAUAACCUUCCACAUCUACCCAGCUCAUACCACAACCUUAC